AACGAACGCUGGCGGCAUGCCUAACACAUGCAAGUCGAGCGAGAGAAUCGGGUCUACUCGCGCACGGGUCCGUAACGCGUGGGAUCAUGCCCAUAGGUUUGGAAUAAAUCCCCGAAUGGGGUGCUAAUACCGGAUCUAAUACUGCGUCCAAAGUUUGAUCGCCUUUGGAUGGGCCGGCGUGGGAUUAGUUAGUUGGUAGGGUAAAAGGCUACGAAAGCGACGUUCCGUAGCUGCUCAGAGAGGAUGAUCAGCGACACUGGGAGUGAGAAACGGCCGGGACUCCUACGGGAGGGAGCAAUGGGGGAUAGUGGAAAAACGGCGAAAGCCUGAUGCUGUUAUGCCGCGAGAGUGAUUAAGGCUUUGGGGUUGUAAAGUUAGUUUACCCGGGGUGAUAUUGACAGUACCGGCAGAAUAAGCUCCGGCUAACUCCGUG
rnacentral:rRNA from 1 species